ACGCGCUCGAAGGAUUAACUUCGGUGGAUACCCCAACGUCUUACUAAGACGGGGAAAUUUACCACGAUCACCGGGGAAAAUCCCCGCGCGUUUGAGCAGAGAGUGCUGGGCGGAAACGUCGCUCCCUUUCUCUCCGGAAGUUCUCUUUUGGAGUGGAAGACACUCGCGAUCUUUUAAACAGUCAUUUAAUCAGUCCGGACGCAACGGAUGACACAGAACGGGGUUUACUCUCGAGCUGACG
rnacentral:RNase_MRP_RNA from 1 species